UGUUUAGCUUUCACUCUUUUUGCUUUCAGUUAGUUUUGCUUCUCUUGCUUUUGUUUUUUUUUUCCCCUUUCGGUUCCACUGCUUUUGUUUUGUAGUUAGCUUUGUUUCUUGUUUUAUUUUCGUUCAUCUGCUUUUUUUUGUUUGCUUGAUUUGUUUGUCAUUCCGCACUGCUUUCGUUUUGUAUUGCUUUGCUUUUUGUUUUCCUUUCCUCUGAUGUAGUUUUCCUUUCUUUUCCCCUGCUUUUGUUUUGCUUUCUCUUCUCUUCUUUCGUUUCAUUGUAACGAAUGGCUGUUUUCUUUCCCCUAGGUGACCCCCCCGCUGAUACAUACGGAAGUAAAUUGGAUCAAUUUUGAUUUCACGUUGACGUCAACACCAAUUUUCUAAAACACAGCCAAAUGAAGUGUUGAGGAAAAACAAGGGCAGUCCCCCGGUUACCGAAGCUCUCAUCCGUUCAUUGUGAAGCAAACAGACCAACUACCGUCAUGAUAGAACAACAGCUUGAAGCUGAACAUGAAGGAUAGCACAUCUAGAUGAAUGGUCGCAAACAUUUGAAGGCUCCUCUCUGCACAGCAGGGACAGUGCAGUGGGCCGAGGUCUGAAUGAUAAUCAGCAUCAAACCGAGCGGGGAAGAGCUGCACGUUUCUCCAUCCCCGGUGCCCAGACCCUCGGACCCCAGCGCCCCGCGCCAGACGAGGGUGGUGGGGGUUGGAGAGGCGCGAGUGAGCGGGGGCCCCUGGAGGUCCCCCAGGCUACCGGGCCGAACCCUGCGCGGGACCCCCGUGGCCCUCUCCUCCCCUUUCAGGUGCACUUAAUAUCUGCAGCAGCAGCAAAUUUGUCUUGGAGGCAAGUCCUUAGCUGCCACUCACUGUAAGCAGGCCAUAUUAAAUUUUUAUAUUUAUUGACAAUUCAUUACCAUAAUUGACUGCGCCAGGGUUUCUGGAAGAAGGUAGACUACGGGCCUCCUAAGCGUAAGGAGAGCUCCCUCUGAGCUGGAUUUGCAAUUAAAAACGCGGGCGGAUUGGAAUUUAUUUAUUGUGUAAAUAUGAUGAGUGGAAUUUUUUAAAGUCCUGGCUGGAGAAUUGCACGUUUCUCACCGGCUGUGCUGGUGGAUCUCUUUGAGGCCCGUAUGAAGCUGCUCAAGUUGUCAAUUAACAGAGAUUUGAACGACUGACCAUUUAAAAGUAGCGGGAUUACCUUUAAAAAAUACAAAUAAUAAUGCAAAUAUUUAACAAACAUUAAUACUAAUCUACUUUUUUUUUUAAAAAACGAUGCAUAUUUAUAUCAAUGUAAGUAUUGUAAAAAUGUACACUACUCAAAAUUCCUUAAAAAAAUGUAAUUAAAUUUCAUAUUUUUGUUCCAUAAUGAUACACUUGUAGUAAACCAUUUGUAUAAAUUCUCUCCAAUUCAUUCCGACAUUGUGAAUAUCAGUGAGUUCUUGAUCUUGCCGAAAAAAACUGAGACCUGUAUGAAUAUCAUUAUGAUGAUUUGGAUUCUUCUAAAGGCCUGGGACCUUCAGAGAGAGACACAGACGGACAGAUACAGCAAAAGACGGGGUUGGAGGGGGAGAUGUAGGUUUGUGACAUUUUGGAAAGCCGCCCAUGUAGUGUCAUGUGUCGCAGCAUUUCAGGACUGAUCCCCCACAGUGCUUUGCUGCCAUACCAACACUAGGGAGAAACAAUGACAUGUCCUCAAACAAGAUGAGAGAUAGAGAGUUGACAGUCGGUGUUGUGGAGUAACCAAAUUUUAACGUAUGCCAAAAUACUGUAUAUCUGCACUACACAGCAGUCUGAAGUUAUACUACACUGAAUUACUGAACCACAAUAUUGCUUUAAUAACUGGCAAAUCGUUUGUUUGUUAUGCAUAAGUCCGUGUUCAUGCGCGGGUGUGUUGUGUGGCCGGGCUGUCAGUAGUCUACUCUGGAAUAAUAGGACGUAAUGAACUGUUUGAGUCUUUGCCUUCUCUCUCCCCAAAGGCUUUUUUUCUGCACCAGCUGUUCAUUAGGCAAAAUAUGCAAACAAGGUCUGGCCCUCCUCCACCCCGCCCCCAACUCUCCGCCAGACCUCGCUAAUCAAACAUAGAGGCACGCUACGCAAAGUACUCGCAAUCCAGACAAAUCAAAGACGGCGAGCACUGUGAGCUUCUUCACAGAUCUCCAGAUGUGGUUUCUAACAAACGUUCUCAGAUAUUAUUGCUCAGAAGUUGAUCUUUCAUGGCUCAGGAGGCUAGAAACCACUUUCACACUAACCAAACAAAUCAAUUUCUGACCUCAAAUAGACUCGGCACCAAAAGUGGACUUCCCACUUGUGUUUCUUUUAAGUAUCAACUUUGUCUCAAAUGAUGACU